CAGCCGCCACGGGAAUACGGAGGAUCCGAGCGUUAUCCGGAAUUAUUGGGUUUAAAGGGUGCGUAGGCGGAUAGAUAAGUCAGUGGUGAAAGACGGUGGCUCAACCAUCGCAGUGCCGUUGAUACUGUUUAUCUUGAAUAUGGAUGAGGUAGGCGGAAUGUGGCAAGUAGCGGUGAAAUGCAUAGAUAUGCCACAGAACACCGAUUGCGAAGGCAGCUUACCAAGGCAAAAUUGACGCUGAGGCACGAAAGCGUGGGGAUCGAACAGGAUUAGAUACCCGAGUAGUCCCUGUCUCUUAUAA
rnacentral:rRNA from 1 species